UCAAGUUCCAGCCUUCCCAAACCUUUUUCUUCUCAAGCCACUAUUCUGUCAAUCAUUUCCUUUACUGUCAAAUGUUUGGAAAAGGUGGUUUGUACUUGCUGGUCUCACUUCACCACAUUUACCAAUCAACCUCUAUGUUCUGGUGACCACAUUCACCUAUUCAAACAAAUUGUUUCUCAAAGGUCACCCGCAGACAGAUUCAGGACUCUCUUCUCAGACCACAUCCUGCUUGGGCAUUCUGUAACGGUUGAUCUGAUGGGCAAGUCUAAGACCGCAGAAGUGGAAGACUUGGUUCAAAUUGUGGGUCCUGCAGGAGCAUGGUGACUUACAUUUCCUAGGGCUUCCCAGGGAGAUGGGACUCUGCAGGGCCUUUUACAUGAGAGCUUUGGUGGGCCUGAGUUUUGAGCUCCUGAAGAAUUUGUUGACAAACGAAGUCCGGGGUUUGGUUUCUCCAUCUGAGGAAUUUUUCUUCCUUCUUUGACUCAUGGUCAAGUUGAAAGUGGUCU